UGGCGAACGGGUGAGUAACACGUGGGUAACCUGCCCAUCAGAAGGGGAUAACACUUGGAAACAGGUGCUAAUACCGUAUAACACUAUUUUCCGCAUGGAAGAAAGUUGAAAGGCGCUUUUGCGUCACUGAUGGAUGGACCCGCGGUGCAUUAGCUAGUUGGUGAGGUAACGGCUCACCAAGGCAACGAUGCAUAGCCGACCUGAGAGGGUGAUCGGCCACACUGGGACUGAGACACGGCCCAGACUCCUACGGGAGGCAGCAGUAGGGAAUCUUCGGCAAUGGACGAAAGUCUGACCGAGCAACGCCGCGUGAGUGAAGAAGGUUUUCGGAUCGUAAAACUCUGUUGUUAGAGAAGAACAAGGAUGAGAGUAGAACGUUCAUCCCUU
rnacentral:rRNA from 1 species